GCGGCUGUGGUCCAGCCUGGUCUAUGACACAGCCUUGCCAAGGCUGUAACGCGGGUUCGAAUCCCGCCAGCCGCA
rnacentral:tRNA from 1 species